AAGUCUGCAGAGCCACAAAACCGUGAGCACCAGGAUGCUGCAGCCUGCGAUAAGGAUGCCCAAGCUCCCCAGGCAAGACUGGCAGACCUCCCCACGGCCCUUUCCGAUUACCACCCGCUAAGGGGAGACUGAGGACGAGAGAAGGAACGGGGCCUGCUCAGCAUCACCUAGCAGGAAAGAGCAUGAGCUCCAAGUCCAAGGUAACUACUGAACACUCGCCUUCGGGCGAAGCAGCCCGGGUGCGGUCUGAAGUGCUCCCUGAACUUCGUAAGCGGACACUCCGGUUGAAAAAGAUCCACCCCCAAGAAAAACCUGGACUCUUGCCUGAAAGAGUCCCGCCAACGGCCGAAAGUGGUUCGGUACUUGCUGCCAACCCUGAGGAUCUGAGUUUGAUUCCCUGGACCCACAUGUUACAAAGCCCAGUAAUUUUCUUCUGACCCUCACAUAUUGCACAUGUGCAUGCAUACAUAUGCUCAAAGUAAAAUGUAAAGACAAAAAAAGAGUUCUUAGGGUAACGGAAUUAACUGCAUAAGCAGAGGGGCUGCCAACACGCCAAGAGAUUGGAUGCCAGGGAUCUGCGCCCACUGGGAUUUUACCACUAUCUCAAGAGAUUCCUGGCACUUUCAGCUGGGCCACACAACAGGAUCUCUUUCUGGCUUCUACUUUAUUAUGACAUCUGGAUGUCCUGGUGGGUCCAUUUUAGAGCAGUGUUCUUUAAAUCAAGCCCAGUGCUCAACACUUACUUCCAUACCAUCCAGGAAGGAGGUAGAGAGGUGACCCGGUACAAUGUGGGGACAUAGACUGGGUAGGCCACUUAGGUCCACCAGCUGGGGAGGAAAGCUAAUGAAGAGGCUACGUUUCAGAACCUGGCUUUCUAUAGCGCGGGUGGAGCCCGAGCUGCACUCUGCUCCUCAGCCCUCUCACAAGACAGGGUGAAACCACUUCCAUGCUAUUCGCACGUGGUGUGAGGGACUCAUUCUUCACUGUAAAAUAACGUCUACCUUAAUUCCCUUAUCUAGUUAGAAGCUUUAACUGAGCACAAAGACAUACCUAUUAAUGUCUUAAGGAAAACAAAUGUAUGUGCCCCACUAGUUGGCUAACUGGCCCUUCCAAGAAAGGCCGGUAUCUAGACAGGGAACUUUGUUUGUUUUUUUUUUUUAAAAAAAAAAGUAC